rnacentral:rRNA from 1 species
AGUGAACGCUGGUGGUAGGCCUAACACAUGCAAGUCGAACGGCAGCACAGUAAGAGCUUGCUCUUACGGGUGGCGAGUGGCGGACGGGUGAGGAAUACAUCGGAAUCUACUUUUUCGUGGGGGAUAACGUAGGGAAACUUACGCUAAUACCGCAUACGACCUACGGGUGAAAGCAGGGGAUCUUCGGACCUUGCGCGAUUGAAUUAGCCGAUGUCGGAUUAGCUAGUUGGCGGGGUAAAGGCCCACCAAGGCGACGAUCCGUAGCUGGUCUGAGAGGAUGAUCAGCCACACUGGAACUGAGACACGGUCCAGACUCCUACGGGAGGCAGCAGUGGGGAAUAUUGGACAAUGGGCGCAAGCCUGAUCCAGCCAUACCGCGUGGGUGAAGAAGGCCUUCGGGUUGUAAAGCCCUUUUGUUGGGAAAGAAAAGCAGCAGGUUAAUACCCCGCUGUUCUGACGGUACCCAAAGAAUAAGCACCGGCUAACUUCGUG